UCAAACGUGCAAAGAACAUAGAGAUUUGGACAUUUGAGGGCAAAUUCUGACUUCAGAUACACACACAUAAAAUUUGCUGUAGUCAGUGGGUUCACUGGUAUUAACUGAGGGCAGAACUGAUAUUCAACCAUUAUCAAAGAAAAGUAUAGUUUCUGCAUUGAGAUGAUUUUAUUCUGCAAUGUAGUCCUUAUGAUAAUUGACCUGUAGACUUCUAUGGGGUGCAGAGCAAAAUGAUUUGAAAGAAAACUGGGAAUCUGAUAUGUGCCUACAGAAAUGGAGAAAAGAAGAUAUGAUGAGUUAAUGGAAGGUGGUUUAAAGUUGAAAAGCAUUUGACAGCAUGGCUCUUCCAAUCCUCUCCUUCUCUUUACUUCCCCACCCCAGAUCCAGUUUGCAGCCUUCGUAACCUGUGAAGAAGAGGUGGACUUGUCAAGUUUUCAAAAUGCAGUAUACUGAAAAGAGCUUGGAUGCCUGCCUUUGGCUGUAGCCCCAGACUCCAGAAGACGAUGAAGACAUCCCUACAUGCCUAUAUAUGGAAAGAGGCCAACAUGGAUGCCAUCAGAAGGAUUCAGCUGAGCAUAUGCUGAGAAAAUUGUGCCAUCCAUACUGUACAUGGGGAAGGGCUGACUGAACCCUCCAGUAUAUUGAAGUUUAUGGCCCUGAAAAGGAAACAUAGGUUUGUGGAAAUUUCACACUAACAGAUGCAAAGAGUCAAGAAUUCUUCAACCUCUAAGGAAAGGUGCUGAAGGAGAAGGAGUUUUUGGAGCCUAAAUCUCCACUCUUGUUCUUGGUCAGACACAGCAUGAAUAGAGGUGAACUCUCCCACUAAGGUGUAUUGCAAAAGGGCUGUGACUGAUGAACACACAAGUGAAGCUUACAGAUGAAAGUGUAUAUGUGAAGUAAGGGGGAGUAAGUAACAGUGAGUUCAGGAAGGUGUUAUUUUGUUGAAUGACAUAUUUUAGGACUUGUGUUUGGUUUUAAUGGACGAGACAUCAUUUGUUUGGAUUUUUAUCUCUAGUUUGUGUGUAUUUUAAAUAGUUGCAGAUGAAUAAACUCAUAAAUGAAUGUA